AUCUUCUCACGGUCUUCUUGACUGCAAGCAGCCUUGCUGAGGGCAGCUACGGGAAUCCCGUUGCCAGAGAUGAGCAGGGAGGCUCAUGGGAAAUCAUCGGAAAUCUUCAUUACUCACUGUGGCGGUCAGUAAUGGGGGUCCGAGUCCAGUGUGUUUGGAGGAGCAGCCGCGGAAAAGGCUACAUUGUAACGGGACUCGCAUUCCCUCUGCGCGCGCCUACAUUGUAACGUCAUGUAACGGAAGUCACAUUCCAGCAGGAGGGGCGGGGGAGGCGCGUUCCCGACGCCACUUUUCCGUCGGUCGUGAGCAGCUCGAGCUGGACUUUCACGGUCGUUUUGUGAGGUCAGAUGAGCGGAGCGACGUGGAUCGUGGAGCUCUGCGGCUUUCCCGCGGACCGAGGUGAGGGGUCCAGGCAGGAGAACCGGGUAGGACCCGAGCGGCUCUGUUUUAAAAAUCAUCUCGAAUCUAAGGGAAAAAAGGCACGAAACUCUGCGAACGGAAAUGACUUCGCGUGCGCCGGCCGGGUGCUCUCCCCGCGGUCCGUUUUCAGGGAGCGCGUGAACCUCGCGCCGUCCCCGCUCCUCCGGACUCCGGAGCCGCUGAUCUCGAGCGCGAGAUGUUCGCAGGGAUGGUGAAGCUCGAGAGGCGGCCGCCGGGCACGAGCGCAGCAGGUGCUCCGGCUGCGGUCCCAGUGGGACUGAGCUCCAGGAGGAGGCUUCCCAGGAGACCGGGGUACAUGAGGGCGGAUCUUCUUGGGACACUUCAGAGCACCGCCCAAGAGGAUGGGCAGAGGUCCACCCUGACCAAUGGAGAGGCUUCCUGUCCUCUGAUUGACAACCCUAUGGACAAGUCCCAGCAUGGCCCCCCAGCCUCUGGUCCUGGCUGUGUCUCACUGCAACUGAACCCUGUUAUACCAACAUUUGUCCCUCCUGCUGGGGGAUCCAGGGAUGGGUCCUUCCUCCAGGGCAGGGACUUGUCCUUCACUCUUUCUCAACAACCCAGCAGGCUGAAUGUUGCUGACCCUACCCUAAGGGACAGUUCUGGGCUGCGGAGUAAACCCAGGUUCGAUCCAGGAACACAUGUAGCCCCUUUGUCCCCAAACCAGCAUUCAGCUAAGCGUGACCGUUUCAACUCCAGUUUCAGUUUCAUCCGGUUGUCUCUGAAUUCGGCUCAGGGGAUGGACGGCUCUACAGGGUCCCCUGAGCAGUCAGAGGACAGACCUGUCUCGCCAGGAAAAUGGGGACCCGUGUUCGUCCCCUCAGGUCAGUUGGAGCCCGCAUGUCCUUCACUGAAGCCUGGACUCGCCCACAGCACCGAUUCCAGUUCCCUGCCCGUGUCUCCAGAAGUAGAGCGGUCCAUCUGUCCAGAACCAUGGCGGGAGCCCCCUGCAGGCCCCGCCGACCGCAGGGACGCCCUCCCAGACGCCGACUCCUGCUCCCUGGAUGCGGAGGCCUCCUCCUCUCUGUCGGUGGACUCCUCCGACGCUGCAUCGGGCUCCUCGGUCACCUCUGGAUACGAGAGCGCCACGCCCUGUUCCGACCGCGCCUGGGAGGCUCUGGCGAAAAAAUACGAGAGCGUCCUGCAGGACAGCCUGCAGAGCAAUCGUACGAAUGCCAAGAUUGAGUCCAUGAUGCUAAAGCUGCAGCGGCUCCAGCAGAAGGCCGUCCUCGAGGACGACUACGACACCGCGGAGCACUUUGGGAACAAGCUGGAGGAGCUGCGCCGGGAGAGGGGCUCCUUGACGCUGGGCCUGCCGUCCCGCCACCCCACCGUGGAGCGUUUCCUGGGGCGCCUGCGUGUUCGGGUGCGGAGUGCCAUGCAGGGGGCUGCAGGACACCGUGGGGAGGGUGCCGGGUGUCCUGGGGAAGGGGGUGGAGCCUCGCACCUGGAAGUCCUGCAGCGCCCCUUGCUGAGGAGAGAGCAGCUGCGCAAAGAGAAGCAGCUUGUGGAGGAUGAGAUGCGGGAGCUGCAGCGCCGCCUAGCGGAGCUACGGGAGCGGAACGCGCAGCUGGAUCGGGACCUCGAGCAGGAGGAGUACCUGCUGGAGGGCGAGGAGGACGAGGGUCCGGCCCUGAGCGGCUGUAGCCCCACCCAACUGCACGAGCUGUCCCGGGCCCUGGAGGACACGGUGACCUCGCAGCACCGGGCACAGAUCUGCACCAACCUGCCCCUUCCGGUUCUCAGGCUGCAGGAGCGAGAACGGACCCUCAACACGUCCAUCAAAGAAGCUACGGCCAAAGUGGUGAUGAGUCAGAGACUGGGCGGCAGCCUGCGGCGGAAGGUCAGCGAGAGCGAAACGCAGCUGCUGGCGCUGCACGAGGCCAAGAUCGCCGCCAUCUCAGGGAACGACUUCUCCAGCGCCAAGGAGCUCAAGGCCGAGAUGAAGUGUGCGUACGGAGAGCGGGAGCGACUCGAGGGCCUGCUGAAGAGGCUGCAGGUGCUGAGCGCCGGGAACAGCCGGGAGUUGGCGCACAUGAAGGAAGAGCAGCUCCUCGUGAAGCAGGAGCUGGCGCGCCGGGAGGUGCAGUUCGAAAAGACGCUGCGAGAGAACGUGGAGAAGUACGUAGAGCUUCUAGAGGACCGGCUGCACAGCUGCGGUAACCUGGCGGUGGAGCGGGUGUGGGAAGCAGACCUGGAGGCGUGUCACCUCUUGCUCCGUGGCCUGCGGCUGCGAUCGCCCGGCUGCUGUGGUCCCGAAGCGGAGGAGGAGGAGGAGCCGCCGGGGGCGGAGCCGCAGACCCCGAGCCCACCCUGCGUCCAGCAAACGCCGGACUGUGCCAUGCUCACGGCGCUGGGGGGCCGCUGGUGCCCGGAAACCGACCUACAGCACUCCGAAUUCACCAAGGUAACAGUCUGCUUGCGCGCUGCUUAUCGGUACCGCUGUUUUUACCAUUGGUGGCCAAAGAGCAGCGGGUGGAAUAUUUCAGCUGCUGCCCCUUGAACUGCGAAGAGCCGAGGUUCAAAUCCCACCUCCUGCUGUAGUAUCCUUGAGCAAGGUACUUGGCCUGAAUUGCCCCGAUUGAAAUUACCCAGCUUUAAGUCGGUAAAUCUGCGUACCUUAACGUCGCAAGUUGCUUUGGGGACAGAAAAAUGAUGGAUAAAUGUAAAAGUUAAUAUAAUGGGGACACAGGAACAUCUGGACAGAGGCAGCUGAACGGAUGGCCCAUGUGUACAGAACCCCACCUAGGCUGUCCAGAAUGGUGCGAGGAGGAGGAUUUCGGAUGAUUUUCUGCAGUGUGUGUGUGUUCUAAGUGUAACAGUUGCUGUUUGAACCCCAAGGGAUGACUCUGACAGCCUCAGCGAGUAAUUUCCAGACAAUAUGACUCUCUCUGAGCCCUAACCCUCCCCCGCUCUCUGGUGUACACCCCCCCCACUGGCCCAGCCGGACUUGCUGACCUUUGCGGCGCUUUCCCAUGGUUAGGCGAGCGUCGGUCCGUCGUGACCGGGAUCGCGGCCGGGGCCUCUCGCGGCAGGGCCGCGCCGUCUGUCGGCGGAGUCCCGGGAAAGUCGGUCCUCGCUCAACGCUGACCAGAGGGCGCCCGGGCUGGCUGCGCCUCCGCUCGACAGCAAAUCCCACUAUUCAUUAUAUCUCGCCGAAAGCGUGUCUGAAUAGCCGGCAACUCGUAAGAAAUAUUUCAAGGGGUGCGGUGGCUGACGGUGCGAAGCCCGGCGGUAACGUGAUGCGUCUCACUUCCUCGUACUCCGGCGACCAGCUUUCCGUUAGAACGUGGAAUCAGACGGUGUCAUUUCAGCCAGUUGCAUCAUUGGCUCCGAGUAUUUUCGCACGGUAACUUUUCCCGUUACAACAAUGUUAUGAGAAAUAUUCAAACAUUCAAAGUAAAUAAUAAAUAUUUAAUCAUCCCCACCCGUCGUCGUUUUUUUUUUUUCGGGUUGACUUUAGUCCCUCUGAGAAAGCGAUCGAAUCCCCUCCUCGCUGUUGUGUUUGAUGUGUGGUUUUACCCGUCAUAGCGUGGUACAGCGCGGUACGGCGCAACACGUUAAAUUUAUCACUUCGCUUUCCGAGCUGAAAAACACACCAGGCGGGAAAAUUCCCCCUUUCCCCUCAGUUUGCCCAGUGCCGCCCGGCUCGUUUCCCUGCUUCGCUCCUGAUCUCCCCUCCCCCCCCUCCCCUCCCUUGACUGACUCAACGCUGACCGUGCUGUUGGAAGAUUUACCGCUCUGCUCUCAUACUUCUCCACCUCUCAGUUCUUCAUCGUUCUGUCCAACCGUGUGCACUAACCUGACUGCCGUAUUGCCCGAGUUCACCCUCUGUCCUGCACGCCUGUCUCCUCUUCUCUCUGUCCUCCACGAAGACGGCCUUCUCCUCCUAACCUCCCCCACUCUCGCCAGGGGACCUGGAGAAAUUGGAGGAAUUC